CUGGGUGGGUACAUCCAAAGCAGGCCUGAGGUGGGACCAUGCUGGGGGGUGUGGCUAGGGCUGGGGGGGCGGGACCAGAGCUGGAGUUGAUGAAGGCCUGGGGGUGUGCUUAGGCUGGAGGUGUGGUUCUAUGCUGGGCAUGGGCCUAGCCACAGGUGGAUGGGGCUAUGGAAGGGGCAGGGUCAGUAAAGGCCUGGGAGGUGUGAGCUGUGUUGUGGGUUGCCCUACUGUGGGAUUAUGGGCGUGGUCUCGACUAGGGGGCGGGGCUAGUGAAGGGGUGGGUCCUGUGCUGGGGUCAGGCCCAUGAGGGAUGGGGGUGUGGUCAAGGCUGUGGGUGGAGGCACAGUUGUGGUGGGGCCAGUGUACAGGUGGAGCUUGGUGCUGGUGAAGGAGUGGGGCUGGUGUGGGGGGGCUGGGGGCGUGGUCCAGGCUGUGGCCAGGGUUACAAUGGAUGCAGAGACAAGUGGCUCUGCAGAGGGGGUCAUAGGUCACAGGUCAAAUGCCAGAGGUGAAAGGUCAAAGGUCAGUGUGAGGUAUCACAGGUAAAAAAAGCCAGCAGUCACAGUGGAGGAUCAAGGAUCAAAGGUCAAGUGUCAGAGGCAAGUGCCAGCAGCUGAGACAACAGCCCUUCACAAGCUAUGCCCCUGCUCACCUUCCCCAGUCCUAUCUAAGCCAUUCUGGGAGUCCACACCCCCAGGACAAGCCCCGCCCCCUGCAGGGCCACCCACCUCUGCUCCAGCAAAGCUCCGCCCACACCUCACCUGGACCUGUCCCCUCAUGUGCCCACUUCCCCUGGUAGCCCCGCCCACAAGGCAGACCACACCCCACUCGGGAGGUGGCCACGCCCCCCACCAUGUUCUCACCUCAGGCCUGCUUCAGACCUACCCAGUCCUGUCCUGGCCACGCCCCCAGCCCUUGCUCCGCCCUCUUGGGGCCACACCCCCAGCCUGGGCACACCCCCAGCCCUGUACUAACCCUGCCCAGAGCCCUACCUGAACACACCCCUACCCAAGCCACACCCCCAGUCACCCCACCACACACACACCCCAGGCCAACCUGAACCCUGCCCCUAGCUGAGACCCCACCCCGGCCACACCCCCAGCCCUAGCCACAGCCUAGACCACGCCCCCAACACAGUCCCCGCCCCUUGUCUACACCACAGCUCCACCUCUCACCAGCCCUGGCCCCGCCCACAGCCUCAAUCAAAGUCCUCAAAUGAGUCCAUGCCCCUUGUCCCUCAUUAGCCCACCACAACAGAGGCCUCAUCCUCUGGUACCAACCACCCCUGAGCCUACACCACACCCACCCUCCUAUAUUAGCCCCUCCCACAGCACAGACCACGCCCCCAGGCCAUUAUUAACCCUGCCCCACCCAUACCCCUCCCACAGCACAGACCAUGCCCUCAGGCGUUUAUUAACCCCGCCCCUCCCAUAGCCCCUCCCACAGCACAGACCACGCCCCCAGGCCGCCAUUAACCCUGCACCUCCCUUAGCCCUCCCACAGCACAGUCCACACCCCUUUAGAGCCCUCCCACAGUACAGACCACACCCCCAGGCCUUUAUUAACCCCGCCCCUCCCAGAGCCCUCCCACAGCACAGACCACACCCCUCCCAGAGCCCUCCCACAGCACAGACCACGCCCCCAGGCCACCAUUAACCCCACCUUGGCCUCACACCCAGCCCAGACCCACCGCAAUGUGAUCAUUAUGUGAUCGCUAUGGGGUCUCUUUGAGGCUCUAGCGGUCGCUGUGCGGCUCUAUGGGAUAUCUAUAGGGCCUGUGGGGCUCUAUGAGUUUCUCUGGGUGGCUACGGGGCAUUUAAAAACAAAAAAAAAAGUUAUUUAAAAAAAAGAGACUAAAAAGCAAAUAAAUCUGAAGAAAAAAAUGAAUAAAAAAGCAAAUAAAGCUGAAUAAAACUUCGUAAAGAUAAUAAAAAGCAAAAGUGAAUAAUGUGAUUACAAAUUAUUACAAACCAAAUAAAAAGGAAUAAAAGUGAACAAACCUGAAUGAAUCUCGAAUAAAAGUUCAUAAAAAUGAAUGAAAGCAAAUAAAAAAAUGAUUGGUGUGGGGGUACUUAUGGCGUGCGACGGGGUAAUUGGGGGCCCUACGUGGUGCCGUGCUGCUUGACGAUGCUGCUGCUGCUGCUGUCAUCGCAGUCCUGGUGGCAUCACGACACCCUAAGUCAAUAAAAGCCGUGGGGUGCGUGUUGUGCGUCUAUCGGGAACUAUAGGGUGGGGGGCGGGAGGGGUGUCUAUGUGGCUCUGUGGGUCGUCAUGGGGCCAUGUGGGGGUGUAUAGGGUAUCUAGGAGUUGCUGUGGGUCUCUAUGGGGUGCUGUGGACUGUCUAUGGGUCACUAUGUGAUGUUUAUGGGUGUCUGUACGUAACUAUGGGGUGUCCACGGGUUGCUAAGAGUUGCUCUGGGAUGUCUACGGGUCGCCCUGGGACCCUAUGGGAUGUCUACAGGGAGGCUAUGAGGCUGAGUGGCUCUAUAGGGGAUCUACUGUGCUCUGCGGGGCUCUAGGAGGUGUCCAUGGGUUGCUCUGGGUCACCAAGGGAUACCUAAAAAAAAAAGUUACUAUAAGUGACUAAAUGAAAUCUGAAGAAAACUGGAAAGAAGUGAAUAAAAAGCGCAUUAAAGUGAAUAAAGUGGUUAAACAGUGAAUAAAACUGAAUAAAAGUGAACAAGCCUAAAUAAAAUGAAUGAAUAAAAAUGAAUGAAAGUCAACAAAAAAAACUGAUUGGUGUUGGGGUACUUACAGGGUGCGGGGGGUAGUGGGAGCUCUAUGGGGCACUUGGGGACCCCCCAUGGGGCUCUUGGGGGUCUCUAUAGGGCACUAUGCCAUUGAUGAUGCGGAUGAUGUCAUCACUGUCCUGGUGACGUAACGACACCAUGAGUCAAUAAAAGUCGUGAGGCUUGUAUUGUGCAUCUAUAGGGAACUACGGGGCAGUGGGGAGGGGGUCUAUAGGGUGCUUUGUGGAGUGCAGGGAGUGUAUAGGGCUCUAUGGGUUGUCAUGGGGCCAGGUGUGGGUCUAUGGGGUAUCUAGCAGUUGCUGUGGGUCUCUAUGAGGUGUCUAUGGGCAGCUGUGGCACAUAGAGGGUGUCCAGGGCUCGCUAUAGGAUGUCUAUAGGGUACCUAUAGGUUGCAGUGGGUCAUUAUGGGGAUCCAUGGGUUUCUGUGUGGCAUCUAUGAGUCACUUUGGAGUAUCCAUGGGUUGCUGUGGGGUGUCUAUCGGUUACUGUGGGUCUCUAUGGGACGUCUAUCAGGUGUCCAUGGGCUGCUGUGGAUGGCUAUGUGCUGUCUAUGGGUCACUAUGGACUGUCUGUGGGUCUCUCUAGAUCACUACGGCGUGUCCAUGGUUCAUUAAGAGUUUCUGUGAGGUGUCUAUGGGUCGCUCUGGGACCCUACAGGAUGUCUAUAGCGAGUCUAUGAGGCUCGCGGGGGCUAUAGGGGAUCUACUGGGAUCCAUGGGGCUCUAUGAGGUUUCCAUAGGUUGCUCUGGGUCACUAUGGGGUAUCUAAACAAAAAAUGCUAUUAAAAGUGACUAAGUCAAAUCUGAAGAAAACUGAAUAAAAAGUGAGCAAAAACUGAGAAAAAAAGUGAGCAAAAAAGUGAAAGUGAGGAAAAAGUGAUCAAAAAUUAGUAAAAGUGAACAAGCCUGAAUAAAGCUCGAAUAAAAGUGAAUGAAAGUUUAAAAAAGAAAGAAUGAAAGCGAAUAAAAAUAUCAACUGGUGUUGGGGUUCUUACGGGUUGUGGGGGGGUAGUGGGGCCCCUACGGGGCACUGUGUCAUUGAUGAUGCUGAUGAUGUCAUCACGAUCCUGGUGACGUCAUGACGCCAGGAGUCAAUAAAAGCUGGGGAACACGUGUUGUGGGUCUAUAGGGCACUAUGGGGCUGGGCGCGAGGGGGGUGUCUAUGCAUCGCUGUGGCGUAUCUAUGGGGUGUCACUGGGUCGCCACGGGGCAGUGUGGGGGUGGCUGUCGGUCUCACCUUCACAGAGGGCUCAGCUAGAUCCUGCGGCAUGGGCCGAGCCCGGUGCAGUCACUCCGGCUCCAUUAAACUGGAUUGCAGUUAAAUACAACAGGCAUAAAGCUGAAAAGUGAAUAAACACCAAUGAAAACAAAUCAACCUGAAUAAAACUCAAUAAAAGUGAAUUAAAUGUGAAUGAAAAAGAAUAAAAGGGAAGAAAUCUGAAGAAAUCUCCAAGAAAAGUGAAUAAAACUGAAUUGAAGAUCUCCCAAAGGAACUAAAAAGCAAACAAAUCUGAAUAAAACAGCAGAAAAGUGAAUUAAAAGCAAACCCAAAGCAAGUACAUGGGAGUUCAAAAGUCACUGAAGGUGAAUAAAAAGCCUGAAUAAACCUGCAUAAAGCUACUGGAGAAAAGCUGUGGCCUUGCCAUGAAUACACAACCUGCUGAGAACAGUGAAAAAGUGCAGAAUCUUACAAAAGCCCUGUGGUUCUCUGAAAAUGAAACAGUGUAAAUAAUGUGGUAACUUGUUAAACCUUGCAGAACUUGCUUAGCCUUGUGAAACUCGCCUGUCUCGUGUCGCUUAUGCAUGUGGAACGGGCAAUUCCACCAGAAGUGUGUAGGCUUAAAUUAUAGGUUUAAACUAACAACAGUGUGUGUUACUUUAACGUAGUAAAAUACAGCAAACUGUUCUAACUUGCUGACACGAAGGGACUAAGGAAUGUCUGGCUGACAGGAGAAGGAACAUCACGGGACUGACAACAA